GUGAACUACCGCUGAGCUAAAGACGCAGCGGCUUCUUCGGAAGUCACUGAAGAUUUGGUUCAGUAGCUUCUUCGGAAGUCUGAGUUCACCAGACUCAGCCCCAGAAAUGGGCGCUACGUUUGAUAGGUCAUGACACCUGCGGUUGACGCAUCAGACCGCUGCUCUGUCGCUGAGAGUUAAGUGUCGCUGAGAGUUAAGUAGGCUUGAGGAAAGGGCCGGUGCUCUCGGUGUAAAAAGCCUUUUGAACAUUGUCGAGAUGAAGCCGGA
rfam:Ktedonobacter racemifer DSM 44963 strain SOSP1-21 Krac_Contig205, whole genome shotgun sequence.